GACGAACGCUGGCGGCGUGCCUAAUACAUGCAAGUAGAACGCACAGUUUAUACCGUAGCUUGCUACACCAUAAACUGUGAGUUGCGAACGGGUGAGUAACGCGUAGGUAACCUGCCUGGUAGCGGGGGAUAACUAUUGGAAACGAUAGCUAAUACCGCAUAAUAUUUAUUAUUGCAUGAUAAUUGAUUGAAAGAUGCUAUUGCAUCACUACCAGAUGGACCUGCGUUGUAUUAGCUAGUAGGUGAGGUAACGGCUCACCUAGGAGACGAUACAUAGCCGACCUGAGAGGGUGAUCGGCCACACUGGGACUGAGACACGGCCCAGACUCCUACGGGAGGCAGCAGUAGGGAAUCUUCGGCAAUGGACGAAAGUCUGACCGAGCAACGCCGCGUGAGUGAAGAAGGUUUUCGGAUCGUAAAGCUCUGUUGUAAGGGAAGAACGGGUGUGAGAGUGGAAAGUUCACACUGUGACGGUAUCUUACCAGAAAGGGACGGCUAACUACGU
rnacentral:rRNA from 1 species